rnacentral:rRNA from 1 species
ACGUACACUCUACGGGAGGCAGCAGUGGGGAAUUUUGGACAAUGGGCGAAAGCCUGAUCCAGCAAUGCCGCGUGAGUGAAGAAGGCCUUCGGGUUGUAAAGCUCUUUUGUCAGGGAAGAAACGGUGAAAGCUAAUAUCUUUUGCUAAUGACGGUACCUGAAGAAUAAGCACCGGCUAACUACGUGCCAGCAGCCGCGGUAAUACGUAGGGUGCAAGCGUUAAUCGGAAUUACUGGGCGUAAAGCGUGCGCAGGCGGUUUUGUAAGUCUGAUGUGAAAUCCCCGGGCUCAACCUGGGAAUUGCAUUGGAGACUGCAAGGCUAGAAUCUGGCAGAGGGGGGUAGAAUUCCACGUGUAGCAGUGAAAUGCGUAGAUAUGUGGAGGAACACCGAUGGCGAAGGCAGCCCCCUGGGUCAAGAUUGACGCUCAUGCACGAAAGCGUGGGGAGCAAACAGGAUUAGAAACCCGAGUAGUCCCAUGA